rnacentral:rRNA from 1 species
UACGGGGGGGGCAAGCGUUGUUCGGAAUUACUGGGCGUAAAGGGCUCGUAGGCGGCCAACUAAGUCGGACGUGAAAUCCCUCAGCUUAACUGGGGAACUGCGUCCGAUACUGGAUGGCUUGGAUUCGGGAGAGGGAUGCGGAAUUCCAGGUGUAGCGGUGAAAUGCGUAGAUAUCUGGAGGAACACCGGUGGCGAAGGCGGCGUUCUGGACUGCAUCUGACACUGAAAGACGAAAGCCAGGGGAGCAAACGGG